rnacentral:rRNA from 1 species
AUUGAACGCUGGCGGCAGGCCUAACACAUGCAAGUCGAGCGGAUGAAGGGAGCUUGCUCCUGGAUUCAGCGGCGGACGGGUGAGUAAUGCCUAGGAAUCUGCCUGGUAGUGGGGGAUAACGUCCGGAAACGGGCGCUAAUACCGCAUACGUCCUGAGGGAGAAAGUGGGGGAUCUUCGGACCUCACGCUAUCAGAUGAGCCUAGGUCGGAUUAGCUAGUUGGUGGGGUAAAGGCCUACCAAGGCGACGAUCCGUAACUGGUCUGAGAGGAUGAUCAGUCACACUGGAACUGAGACACGGUCCAGACUCCUACGGGAGGCAGCAGUGGGGAAUAUUGGACAAUGGGGGAAAGCCUGAUACAGACAUGCCGCGUGUGUGAAGAAGGUCUUCGGAUUGUAAAGCACUUUAAGUUGGGAGGAAGGGCAGUAAGUUAAUACCUUGCUGUUUUGACGUUACCAACAGAAUAAGCACCGGCUAACUUCGUG